AUGCAAGGUCUGCAGUCUCUGCUAUAUAAAUCUUAUUUGCUUCUGCAACUGCCUGGGAGGCUGGAGUUUGGGAACAGGAUUGUGUCUGUGGCCUGUUGGGAGUUUUGGUUGCUGAAAAUCAUGAUGUCUAUGGUGGUGGGCUUGGAAAAGAUGACACAGACACUGUUCAAAAGGAGUUCAGUAGCUUUGUGGCCAGGUGUGAAGAUGACAGCGUUGAAAAUGAAGGAGAAUCUUAGCUCAUAA
rnacentral:lncRNA from 1 species